rnacentral:rRNA from 1 species
UACGUAGGGGGCAAGCGUUGUCCGGAAUCAUUGGGCGUAAAGAGCGUGUAGGCGGCUAGGCAGGUGGGUUGUGAAAACUGGAGGCUCAACCUUCAGACGUCGACCCAAACCCCCUGGCUAGAGUCCGGAAGAGGAGAGUGGAAUUCCUGGUGUAGCGGUGAAAUGCGCAGAUAUCAGGAAGAACACCGGUGGCGAAGGCGGUUCUCUGGGCCUUACCUGACGCUGAGGAGCGAAAGCGUGGGGAGCGAACAGG